UACUUGGUUGAUCCUGCCAGUAGCAUAUGUUUGUCUCAAAGAUUAAGCCAUGCAUAUCUAAGUAUGCAGGCAGGUACAGUGAAACUGCAAAUGGCUCAUUAAAUCAGUUAUGGUUCCUUUGGUUGCUUGCUCCCUUCUACUUGAAUAACUGAUAAUCUUAGCGAUAAUCCAGCCUAUGGCACUGACUCUUUUGCGUGAUGUGUGGUGGGGGGAAAUCCAUGAAUUUAUCAGGCCAAAACCAACCUGGUCAGCCUCCUCCCCUCACUCCCUGGCCCCAGCUGGCAGGGGGAGGGGGUUGGCUUUGGAGACCCUAGAUAAUCUCAGGCCAAUACAUGGCCCUGUGGCAGCAACAACUCCUUCGAAUGCCUGCCCUAUCAACUUUCAAUGGUAGUCACUGUGCCUACCAUGGUGACCAUGAGUGAUGGGGAGUCAGGGUUCAAAUCUGGAGAGGGAGUCUGAGAAAUGGCCUCCACAACCAAGGAAGGCAGCAGGCAUGCAAAUUACCCACUCCGUUCCCAGUGAGGUAGUGAUGAAAAAUAACACUACGGGACUCUUUCGAGGCCCUGUAGUUGGAAUGAGUCCACUUUAAAUCCUUCCACGAGGAUCCAUUGGUGGGCAAGUCUGAUGCCAGCAGCCAUUGUAAUUCUACCUCCAAUAGCAUAUAUUAAAGUUGCUGCAGUUAAAAAGCUCAUAUUGGAUCUUGGGAGUGGGCAGGCUGUCUGCAACAAGGCGAGCCACCACCGGUCUUACACCUUGCCUCUCAGCACCCUCUUGAUGCUCUUAGCUUAGGUGCCCCAUGGGGCCCUAAGCAUUUACAUUGAAGAAAAUUAGAGUAUUCGAAGCAGGCCCAAGCCUCCUGGAUACCACAGCUAAGAAUAAUGGAAUAGGACCAUGGUUCUACUUUGUUGGUUUUCAGAACUGAGGCCAUGAUUAAGGACAGCCAGGGACAUUCAUAUUGCACCACUAGAGGUGAAAUUCUUGGACCAGUACAAGAUGGACCAGAGCAAAAGCAUUUGCCAAGAAUGUUUUCAUUAAUCAAGAACAAAAAUCAGAAGUUUGAAGACAAUCAGAUGCUGUCAUAGUUCCAACCAUAAACGAUACCCACUCGAGAUGUGGUGACGUUAUUCCCGUGACCCACCAGGCAGCUUCCGGGAAACCAAAGUCUUUGGAUUCUGGGGGGAGUAUGGUUGAAAAGGUGAAACUUAAAGGAAUUGAUGGAAGGGCACCACCAGGAGUGGAGCCUGCAGCUUAUAUUGACUCAACAUGGGAAACCUCUCCCCACCUGGACAUGGACAGGAUUGACAGAUUGAUAGCUCUUUCUCAGUUCCAUGGGUGCUGGUGCAUGGCCAUUCUUAGUUGGUGGAGCCAUUUGUCUGGUUAAUUCUGAUAACCAGUGAGACUCUGGCACUGGCAUGCUAACUAGUUAUGUGACCUCCAAGCGGUCAGCAUCCCCCAACUUCUUAGAGAGACAAGUGGCAUUCAGCCCCCUAAGAUUGAGCAAUAACAGGUCUGUGAUGCCCUUAGAUGUCUGGGGCUGCACGUGCACUACACUGACUGGCAGGCACUGGUAACCCGCUGAACCCUGCUCAUGAUGGGGAUCAGGGAUUGCAAUUAUUCCCCAUGAACGAGGAAUUCCCAGUAAGUGUGAAUCAUAAGCUUGUGUUGAUUAAGUCCCUGCCAUUUGUACACACCGCCCAUCGCUACUACCAAUUGGAUGGUUUAGUGAGGCUCUCAGAUACACCCCACCAGGGUUGGCACACAGCCCUGGCAGACUGCUGGGAAGAUGGUUGAACUUGACUACCUAGAGGAAGUAAAAGUCAUAACAAGCUUUCUGUAGGUGAAUGUGUGGAAGAAUCAUUA
rfam:Sus scrofa breed Duroc isolate TJ Tabasco Contig2529_1, whole genome shotgun sequence.